rnacentral:rRNA from 1 species
GACGAACGCUGGCGGCGUGCCUAAUACAUGCAAGUUGAGCGCUGAAGGUUGGUACUUGUACCAACUGGAUGAGCAGCGAACGGGUGAGUAACGCGUGGGGAAUCUGCCUUUGAGCGGGGGACAACAUUUGGAAACGAAUGCUAAUACCGCAUAAAAACUUUAAACACAAGUUUUAAGUUUGAAAGAUGCAAUUGCAUCACUCAAAGAUGAUCCCGCGUUGUAUUAGCUAGUUGGUGAGGUAAAGGCUCACCAAGGCGAUGAUACAUAGCCGACCUGAGAGGGUGAUCGGCCAGACUGGGACGGAGACACGGCCCAAACUCCUACGGGAGCCAGCAGUAGGGCAUCUUCGGCAAUGGACGAAAGUCUGAGCGAGAAACGCCGCGUGAGUGAAGAAGGUUUUCGGAUCGUAAAACUCUGUUGGUAGAGAAGAACGUUGGUGAGAGUGGAAAGCUCAUCAAGUGACGGUAACUACCCAGAAAGGGACGGCUAACUACGUG